rnacentral:tRNA from 1 species
GGUUGAUUAGUGUAGUUGGUUAUCACAUCGGAUUUUGAUGACUAGUAUCAAUGUUCCGGGGACCCGGGUUCGAAUCCCAGAUCGACCU